AGUGAACGCUGGCGGUAGGCCUAACACAUGCAAGUCGAACGGCAGCACAGUAAGAUCUUGCUCUUACGGGUGGCGACUGGCGGACGGGUGAGGAAUACAUCGGAUUCUUCUUUUUCUUGGGUGAUUACGUAGGGACACUUAUGCUAAUACCUCAUACGUCCUACGGGAGAAAUCAGUAGUUCUUGACACCUUUGGCGAUUGUAUUAGCCGAUGUCGGAUUGGCUAGUUGGCGGGGUAAAGGCCCACCAAGGCAACGAUGCGUAGCUGGGCUGAGAGGAUGAUCGGCCACACUGGAACUGAGACACGGUCCAGACUCCUACGGGAGGCAGCAGUAGGGAAUCUUGCACAAUGGGCGAAAGCCUGAUCCAGCAAUACCGCGUGAGUGAUGAAGGCCUUCGGAUUGUAAAGCCCUUUUGUUAGGAAAGAAAAGAAGUAGGUGAAUCCACCGCUGUUCUGACGGUACCCAAAGAGUAAGCAACGGCUAACUUCGUG
rnacentral:rRNA from 1 species